GUUGGUGAGUGAGAUGUAGAUGUUGUUGUAGCUGAUGUAGAUGUUUCUGUAGUCGAUGUAGAUGUUGGUUCAGUGGUUGUUGUUGAUUCAGAUGUAGAUGUUUGAGCAGGUGUUGUUGAUUGAGGUGCAGAUGUUGGUGUUGUUGAUUCAGUG